ensembl:lncRNA
CAUUUCGAGUGAAGUUGCUUUAUCAAUUGGGAAGAACAUUCAAUGGGUCUUGCCAGGAAGCUAAUCCUGAAGACAGAUGCUGUACCAUCAUCGUCAGUAGAUUUUGCAAGCGUAGACCAUGAUCUUCCCAGGCAACCCACCAAAACAGGAAUAGUGCCAUACAAAAAACAGCUUUCCCAAGGCAAAGAAGGGGGACUUGGUGUGAAGCCUAUGAAGUCGGACCUAACAUACUGGAUGGCUCCUGGAUCUCCUCUUCAACGAGGUCAGCCUUGAGCCAGCAAAGGACCGUAUGCAGGGAAGCUGUGGGAGCUGACCAUCCCAGGACCCCUGUCUGCCCAGUGUGAGAGACCUGACAAGGAGGCCAUAGCUGGAUUUGUCUCCCGCUCAAUCUUGUGGGUGACUGAAGCCAAGUGGGUGACUGAAGCCUGCUUGAUUGAAGUGGGGUACAUGGGUCCCCCUCUCAUCCAUCUCUAUACUGUAGUUGGUUACAUUCCCUAAAGCCUAAGUAAUUCACUUUUACGUGAUAUGACAUCACACUUUGUAUAGUUUUUUUUCAAACAUUCGGACGGGAGAUGAGUGUUACAAAUUGUAUGAAUCAAUGGAUCCUGCACAUUGUAGUGUGCCGGGUGCCUAUAUUAGGCUUUUUAACGAUGUACGCUGAGAGUCGGGAAGCAAGUUCAGGAAGUGAAUACAUUUAAUAAAUAAAUGAACAGCGCACCGACAUGAAACAGCAACAAUGACGACUGGGGAAGAAACUGAAGGGAGUGACAUAUAAAGGGCAGGUAAUCAAGGAGGUGAUGGAGUCCAGGUGAGUGUCAUUAUGAGCUGGUGGCAGGCUUAUGGCUCUGGGAACUUUUUUUGUCAAAUGAUGUCUC